rnacentral:rRNA from 1 species
GGAAACCCACGGGAGACGUCCUAGACGCCCCAAACCGUUCCGUUGGUGAACCAGCGGAAGGAUCAUUACAGAGAUCAUGCCCCUCGGGGUAGACCUCCCACCCUGUGUUAUUUACUCUUGUUGCUUUGGCAGGCCGCCCUCGGGCUCCCGGCUUCGGCUGGGGCGCGCUUGCCAGAGGACCCCAUACUCUUGUGUAUCUGUCGUCUGAGCACCAUAAAAUAAGUUAAAACUUUCAACAACGGAUCUCUUGGUUCUGGCAUCGAUGAAGAACGCAGCCGAAAUGCGAUAAGUAAUGUGAAUUGCAGAUUCAGUGAAUCAUCGAAUCUUUGAACGCACAUCGCGCCCCUUGGUAUUCCCGGGGGGCAUGGCCUGUUCGAGCGUCAUUUCAACCCUCCAGCACCCGCCCUGGUUCUUGGGGCCUCUGUCCCGCCACGGCUGGUCUUAAAUUUCAUGGCGGCGGCCAUCGAGCUACUACGCGUAGUAAAUACUACCCCUCCGCGGUGUGAAGUACCCGGCG